UCUAGCAGCAGUUUCCUCCUCGCGGGAGUGCGCUGCGCUGGAGCGACUUACCGCGGGCAGGAAAGGGGUUAAAGGUGUCCCCGCUGUCCUUUACCGAGCCGACCGUACCCUUCUUACCGUCUCGGCCCGCGCCCUCCCUGCGCCGCAGCUCGAGAAGCCUAGGAUUUGGAGAAUUUAGAAAGUCAUCUCCCGCCGAGCCUCCCUGCGCGCUCGACCCCACACACAGUCAGAAGUGAGACAUCGUCAUGUCAGGGUCCUUGCCUCGGGGUCCACAGAUCCCCACAGCGCGCGGGGCGGCGUUUCGGGAACGCGGGCAUCGGCGGGAAUUGCGCGUGUCCCGCGCGCCUUCUGGAGAGAGCGCCCGGAACUGCCAACAACUGCUCAGAGGAGACUGGCCGCCGGAGAAAUUAAGAACCACUUCUCGCUUUAUUUCUUCAUACUGUUUCUAGUACGUGGUUCAGUCCUACUGUAGUUAGCACCUCCUGUUUACAAAAUAUUGUGCUAGGAGCCGUAAACAAAAAUACUUGACAGACAGUACUUCAUACUUUAUAGCUCCCGAGGCCUUGACAGAGGGAUGAUCUCUUUAGAAAUAAGGUCUGCCUUCAACAUGGAAAAUCCGCAGAGGAAGCAAAGAACUAACGUGUGUUGCAGCGUUUCUCAGACUUUUUUCCACCUGUGCCCGGUAAUGCAUUUCACACUGUGCCUCAGCACACGCAUCUGCACAUAUACCCGGAGGUUAAAUGGAAACAGGCAUCUUAUGAAAUAAUACACACGCUACAUGUUAUGUAUUCUAUUCUACUUUAACUUGCUGGUUACUGCGCACACACUGAUUUCACAGCUGUACAAUGUUAUUUUUAAGCUGAUAGGAAGGACUUAUUGAACACUGGCUAGAACACAUGCUAGGCACUAGUGCUUUGUAUCUCUGACCUGAUUUAAUUCUCUGAGGAAGAGUAUGAAGGGAAUUCAAGCACUGAUUUGGGAGAUGAACAGAGGAGACAGUGGAUGUGAACUGAUUUUUAAGAUCUCCUCGACUCUCCUUGUUUAUAAUCCUGAAACCAUCAAUGGAGAAACCAAUCGCAGAUCCAUCUUGAUGAGCGGGGAGCGGCACAUCAUGUCUAGACUGAAAAAGCCAGCUGGAGAGUAACGUGGUGAGUGCUGACGCUGGUCCCCGGGUCCCUUCUCUUCCCAUCGUUCCCUGAGUGAGCAUCACCGCCACCCAGAGUGGCUCAAGCCAGAAACCUGGAAGCCAUCCAUCCUAGACGCCAGCCUCUCCCCGUCCAUCCACGUAGCCAGCAAGCCUUUCACACCUACAUUGUAAUAUUUGCCAAUGAAAUCAUUUUGAUAAUCACAUAGAGACGCAGACACCCUAGUGAAAAAGACUUACUCAUGGACUUUUGAGUCUUAGAGCAGCUCCCUCUGAGGUCGAUUACCUAACUAUACGACAAUCAAUGUAUAAAGACUUCGCAACUCACAUGUUUAAUGAGGCGGACUCAGGAACUUCUAGACUGCCAAAUAUUGCUAUGAAUUAGCCCAAACACUUAGUUGCCUGUGAACCACAAAACUUUUAUCAGUGGAGUAUCAUAUAUAAUUAUGGUUUACCCUUUUGUGAUUAUAACGUUUAAGGAAAUACCCCUUUUUAAGACCAAUGUUGCACUGAGGUUCGUUACCAUUUAUGUUCACAAAAAAAUAUAUUUCAUCAAUUCUGUGAUGACUUUUUUCACAUUUUAACAUCUCUAAAAUUGGGAUGUCUUAAAAUCAAUAGUGUUAAAUUGUACUAGGCAGCAUUUUUUAUUUUUAGUGGUACAUAAAAUGAUGACGCCUUACAAUGGCUGGUGUCUUAGAUUUGAUUAAACAUGUAGCAUGGUUCCUAUACUUUAAAGUCGAAAGAGAAGAGUCCUUCCUGGAUGAAGUAAACCUUCUCCUCUGACUGGCUUUGAUUUACUCCUCUACUUCAACUAUUUUUCAGACUGGGGGAAGAAAGAAAAAGAAAAAAGAUACUACCUACCAUGUUUCAGGAAUACUAGGUGCUUUUAUGUAGAUUAUUGCUGAGCAAAUGGAUGUCAAGAAGUUAGAAGACUGAGGUAUUUGAAGGAGGACCAGUGUGCUUUGGAAACAGAAUCACGGUUCUAUAGGACAGCACUGGAGGCCCCCCCUCCAGGUUGACAUAGCCUCUGCCAAUCAAGCCUUUUUGGUUAUGAUUUGCAACCAAUUAAGAAAUCACCCCAACUGUUUUAUUAACCAGUGUCACCCCAAUAAAUUCAAUAAAACAUUACCCCAACUACUAAAACACUUCCCUGUUUGGGGACGGUGUUGAUUUUCCUCAAGGUGGUACCCAAAAGAGUUUUUCAUGGUCUGGUUUCUGACUCUCUAGCCUGGGCUCUGGCCGUGUCCCACCCUGGUGCCUCCAUUUCAGUUCUUUUCAGCUGCUCGCUUCCCAGAUCCUUCACGCUGUUCAUGGGUCUCCUCCCCUCCGGUUCCUUCUGUCUGGAUGCCUUUUCUCCUCUUUAUGCAGUAAAACUCGUACGUAUCCUUUAAGUCGGAGUGUUCUCUCGCUAAGAAAUCUUUCCCUGACAAACCACCUGUCUCUUCACUAGAUUCAAGUAUCCCUCUUCCAUGCUCCCAAGCCUCCCUUUGCUUUCCUUCCAUCAUAGUUUUUCACAUAUCACACUGUAAUCGUUAGAAUUUGACUCUCACCCACCAGAAAGUAAGUACUUAGAGGGCAAGAACUGUAUUUUUUUCUUUGCCCUUGACAUAGUACAGCACUUAAUAUUGGUUUGUUGAAUUAAUGCUUUAAGCAUAAUACCAUGAAACCUCAUCAAAUACCCUGUUGGGUGUGUAUUUCCAUAAUCAGUUAUGAGUAAUGUCAAAAUAAAGUGUAACUGAUUUCA